AUCCACUCCAGGCAGAGGACUCAGAACAUAUUUCAGGACAGGAGAACCUAGGAAGGAAGGCCUUACCAAGGUAGAAGCCUUUCUCCACACCGUGCCUCCUGCAGUGGGAAUAGGAAAGACAUCACUCUACUUACAUAGGUAAGCAUGGCUACUGCUACUGCUAAGUCACUUCAGUCGUGUCUGACUCUGU